AUAGGAAUUUUAAUACAUUAUAUAAGAGUCGUGAAUAACAUCACCUUCCUUAGAUUCUCAAGGGGAUCGUACUACAUAUACUAUGUAUGUGAGGACAAGGUAACCACUAUGUUCCCUAAACAUUCUUGUCUUCAUUAGCAUCUAGGUUCAACAAUGCAAGAUUUAUGUUUCCUGAGCAGUGGCUUAAUAUCUGAAAAAUCAUUCUCCUCUAUCCAAGUUCUUAGAUGACUUUUCUGGAUAUCUGAAAUUAAGCAACAUCUUAGAAGGACCAAGGAAGUUACGUGAACGGAUGUUUUGUGAAAUUUUGAUAAAGUCAAUUCAACUUUUUUUGUAGUUUUCUUGGAAAUGGGUUAGGACUCGUACGAGGAUCUUGUAGUUCCAUGGCUGUCACUAAUUUAAGGUCUUUUACGCAGGCUCUUGAACUAUGAACCAGAAGAUACAAAAAGGGUAUUCUGGACACCCCAACUGACAGACCCACAGCUUAAUCUGAAGAGUUAGGUGAUUCAAGGCACGGAAAAAAUGGAAGCCCCCUCUCAACCAGUAAGCAGUCAAGCUUUAUGACACCCUUUGGACAAAGAACCAAUAAAUUUGCAAUUCAGUUCCAGACCAGGACUCAACCUAUUGGAGAAAGUGGAAACAAAGAAUCUGAAGAUGAAGAUAUGGGAGAUGAAAGUAUUCGAAGGGUGACCAAAGAAUAGGUGCUCAACCAAAGAAGAUAUGUAUGAUAGAAUUGAAGAUAGGUUUAAUUCUCUUCUGGAUCGCAUCAAUAAACAUACAUCAACAUGCUUCUGGGAAAUAUGAAGAACUUGUAGAUCCUACAACAACCUCUCAUGUAUUGUAGCUUCUUAAGAUACCUUUAUCUAUAUUUUCUUUAUUCUGCAGUCCUAUGAACAACUACUAAUCUCAUCGGAUUAUUUAUCAAAAAAGCAUGUUUGCUGUUGGAUGAUCGGCUGCCUGAAUGAAAAUUCAGUCUUAUUACAAACAGGUAAGUUCAUGUUACCUUUAUUGUGAUACUAAUUCUCAAAAGUUCGUGUUGUUUGCUCAAUGCUCAUAUCUUUGAGCAGGGUAAUUUACUAACACAAUGGCGAGUUAGGUUUUCAGAUUUGGCACAAAGGAUGGUAAAGUGGGUGGGAGUCUUUUAGAUAAACAUAGCUACAUUCUAUAACCAGUGUCUGGAAUUGUCAAGUACUUUAAACUGCAAUCAUAUUUUCUUCUGUUAUGACAACCUUUGCAAAAGGCAACAAUGAUUUUGGAUAUUGUGACAAUUUAUUUAUCGAAUGUACAAUUUUUGACUUCAGUAUCCAUUGUUGUGCGAUGAUUUGAAUGGUGCCAAGGACCUUACUAUGCCACACUGCAGGAUGGUUAUAGAGAUAUGCUAAAGUUAGCAGAAAAUGUUGUUGCUUUUAAUCGGCUUCUAAAGUAUGCACACGUUUGCGCAGUUUUCUCCGUUAAAUCUGAUCCUAGGUCCUGGUGGAAAUAUGCCAAUAAGGCUGUAUUAAUCAAAUGAAGAAGGCUAGGUUUGGGAUCUUCAUACCUUUUUCGUUUUCUUGUUGCUCUUUGCUUCAGUAACAAUUUCACUUUCGGCAUGUUCUUAUGAAGCUGCUACUUCCUGUCUUGGAUAUUUCAUCUCUCUGGUUUCAUAUACCAUUUUCUUUUUCUUGUCAUAUUCUAAUUUCAUUUAGAGCAUGUUAACAUUCAUAAUUACACGGGGAUUGAUGGAAGGAUUUUGUUUAUAGCUUUUGAGGUAAACUGUGGGUAGUGUUUGUACUUUGGGUGAUGAUAAAGGUCGCAAGUUGCGACAACAUUUAGUUGUCGCAAUCUUACGUGUUGGAGUUUAAUUGGUACAUGUAUGCGCCACGUAGGCUAUGCGUCAUCAUGAUAUUUUUACUAUCAAUGCAAUAUUUUUACUAUGAAAUUAUGUAAAUACGGUAAUCAAUAUAAAGAAGGAAACAAAUUAGAAUAUUAAGAUUUUCCUACCUUUUUUUGAAACAUGUAUAAUAGAAUAUAUUAGUUAAAUAUUUUAAUUUCCUAUUUAAAUCGCGACACAUAAGCAUGCCAUGUCAUCAUUGUGACACGGCUUAAAGGUCGCAUGUUGCGACCUUUAUCAUUUUCGUUGUACUUUUACUCUUCAGAAGUCAAAUUGUCCCCGGUAGAAGUAUUUUCUUAUGUUAAGAAAUUAUGAUCCUACUAUAAGGGAGGGGAGGUAUUGCACCACUAGAAUUGUUGUGUUAGCCCAGAAAUGAGCAUUAAGAGUAUUUGUGCUAUUUUCUAGCAUGGGGGAUGAGAAUUUCUCUAUUCUUUUCACCUGACCGAGUGUGCAUUCAGUGACCAACU